GUGGGGAAUAUUGCACAAUGGGCGAAAGCCUGAUGCAGCAACGCCGCGUGAGGGACGACGGCCUUCGGGUUGUAAACCUCUUUUAGUAGGGAAGAAGCGAAAGUGACGGUACCUGCAGAAAAAGCACCGGCUAACUACGUGCCAGCAGCCGCGGUAAUACGUAGGGUGCAAGCGUUAUCCGGAAUUAUUGGGCGUAAAGAGUUCGUAGGCGGUCUGUCGCGUCUGCUGUGAAAACUGGAGGCUCAACACCCAGCCUGCAGUGGGUACGGGCAGACUAGAGUGCGGUAGGGGAGAUUGGAAUUCCUGGUGUAGCGGUGGAAUGCGCAGAUAUCAGGAGGAACACCGAUGGCGAAGGCAGAUCUCUGGGCCGUAACUGACGCUGAGGAGCGAAAGCGUGGGGAGCGAACAGGAUUAGAAACCCCUGUAGUCC
rnacentral:rRNA from 1 species